CCUACGGGUGGCUGCAGUCGAGAAUCUUCGUCAAUGGGGGAAACCCUGAACGAGCGACGCCGCGUGUGGGAUGAAGGCCUUUGGGUUGUAAACCACUGUCAGGGGGGAUGCAGAGCCCCAGAGGAAGCACGGGCUAAGUUCGUGCCAGCAGCCGCGGUAAUACGAACUGUGCGAACGUUAUUCGGAAUCACUGGGCUUACAGGGUGCGUAGGUGGCCGGACAAGUCAGGUGUGAAAUCCCUCAGCUCAACUGAGGAACUGCGCUUGAAACUGUUUGGCUAGAGUGAGCUAGGGGUGCUUGGAACUGCCAGUGGAGCGGUGAAAUGUGUUGAUAUUGGCAGGAACACCGGAGCCGAAAGGGAAGCACUGGGGCUACUGACACUGAGGCACGAAAGCCAGGGGAGCAAACGGGAUUAGAUACCCUUGUAGUC
rnacentral:rRNA from 1 species